rnacentral:rRNA from 1 species
CAAAACACGGUCUCAGUUCAGAUUGCAGGCUGCAACUCGCCUGCAUGAAGUUGGAAUUGCUAGUAAUCGCGAAUCAGAAUGUCGCGGUGAAUACGUUCCCGGGCCUUGUACACACCGCCCGUCACACCAUGAGAGUCGAUAACACCCGAAGCCUGUGAGCUAACCUUUUAGGAGGCAGCAGUCGAAGGUGGGGUUGAUGAUUGGGGUGAAGUCGUAACAAGGUAUC